rnacentral:rRNA from 1 species
AUUGAACGCUGGCGGCAGGCCUAACACAUGCAAGUCGAGCGGAGCGGCGGACGGGUGAGUAAUGCCUAGGAAUCUGCCUGGUAGUGGGGGAUAACGACCGGAAAGGGGCGCUAAUACAGCAUACUAUCAGAUGAGCCUAGGGCGGAUUAGCUAGUUGGUGGGGUAAAGGCCAACCAAGGCGACGAUCCGUAACUGGUCUGAGAGGAUGAUCAGUCACACUGGAACUGAGACACGGUCCAGACUCCCACGAGAGGCAGCAGUGGGGAAUAUUGGACAAUGGGCGAAAGCCUGAUCCAGCCAUGCCGCGUGUGUGAGGAAGGCAUUCGGAUUGUAAAGCACUUUAAGUUGGGAGGCGUUCCCAACAGAAGUAGCACCGGCUAACUUCGUGCCAGCAGCCGCGGUAAUUC